UACGGAGGGGCUAGCGUUGUCCGGAUUUAUUGGGCGUAAAGAGCUCGUAGGCGGCUUGUCGCGUCGAAUGUGAAAACUCGGGGCUCAACUCCGAGCUUGCAUUCGAUACGGGCAGGCUAGAGUUCGGUAGGGGAGACUGGAAUUCCUGGUGUAGCGGUGAAAUGCGCAGAUAUCAGGAGGAACACCGGUGGCGAAGGCGGGUCUCUGGGCCGUAACUGACGCUGAGGAGCGAAAGCAUGGGGAGCGAACAGG
rnacentral:rRNA from 1 species